GGAUUGACGUGAUGGUCAUGCCUUAAGGGGUAUGAACUGUUACUGUUGAUUUCUCACCUUCUGGAGAAACUUGAUGUCCUUUAUUUGGUGUUAUAGGGAAUCAGGACUGUUACUUUGAAAAAAUUAGAGUGUUUAAAGCAGGCUCACGCUUGAAUACAUUAGCAUGGAAUAACGAAAUAGGACGUUUGAUUCUAUUUUGUUGGUUUCUAGGAUCGACGUA
rnacentral:rRNA from 1 species